rnacentral:rRNA from 1 species
GCCAGCAGCCAUAUCCCACUGAUGCUAAGCAGGUGUGAGCCUGGCCAGUACCUGGAUGGGAGACCUCCUGGGAAAGCUAAGGUUGCUGCUGGAA